GAUGAACGCUGGCGGCGUGCUUAACACAUGCAAGUCGAACGGAAAGGCCCAAGCUUGCUUGGGUACUCGAGUGGCGAACGGGUGAGUAAGACGUGGGUGAUCUGCCCUGCACUUCGGGAUAAGCCUGGGAAACUGGGUCUAAGACCGGAUAGGACCACUUCGUAGUGGUUGUGGUGGAAAGUUUUUUCGGUGUGGGAUUGGCUCGCGGCCUAUCCGCUUUUUGGUGUGGGAAUGGCCUACCAAGGCGUCGACGGGUAGCCGGCCUGAGAGGGUGUACGGCCACAUUGGGACUGAGAGCCGGCCCAGACUACAACGGGAGGCAGGAGCGGGGAAUAUUGAACAAUGGGCGGAAGCCUGAUGCAGCGACGCGGCGUGAGAGAUGACGGCCUUCGGGUUGUAAACUCCUUUCGACAAAGACGAAUUUCGGACGGUAUUUAGAGAAGAAGCACCGGCUAACUACGUG
rnacentral:rRNA from 1 species